UGUUGGUUAGAGCAGGGUUUCCCCAAAGUCGGUCCUGGAGGUCCCCUCCCCUGUGUGCACGUUUUUUUUUUGCCCAAGCACUGCAAAGCGGAUUCAAACAAUCAAAGAUUGAUGCGUUGGUAAGUUGAAUCAGCUGUGUAGUGCUAGGGAAAAACACCAAACAUUCACCUGGGGGCCCAGGACCGACUAUGGGAAACCUUGGGCUAGAGUGCACAUGCCAAGGCCAGAGUUCGUAUAUUUGCUAUUGAAUUAAUAGUUAAUUAAUAGUUUUAGUGGAAAAAACUAUCGGUAGAGUUGAAAAUGCGAUGGAAACAUAUUGAACUAUAAGCUUUUUUUUUUAGCUCACUGAUUUUGAUCCGCAAAAAGUACAUUUGGUUGAAACCCCACUGGUGUGGAAAAGACGCGUAUUUACUUUUUGCUUAUUCUGCAGUAUUUACUUAAAUCUGCCGCCAAUUGGACGGAAACCUAGCUGGUCGACCUGUAUGCGAUUGAAUGAAACCACUCGAAUGCAUAUUUGCUUGCCUUAAAUUGUCCUUCAAAGAUUCCGUAGGUGAUCCUUAUAAAUAGACACCACCCCGUUUUUCGUUCUCUUGUUCUCACUCAGAAGUCUGAGCAUGAUCGUUUCUGAUACGGUUGGCAAGGAUGUUUCGGGAACGUCCGGAGAAAUAUUUGAAGUAACAUGUUGCUGAUUCAAUUAACUCAUGUAACUUAGUCUGACAUUGGUUGUUGUUAAUUAGAGGCGUUGCAGGCUCUGUUUGUGGCGUUUCCGUUUAUUCGAUUGCGGUGGCCACGUGGGCGCGCACAUAUUUUGUGGCUUUACAUUUAUGUAGGUGUACAUGUAAACUACUAAAGGGCAAUUCCUCCACUUUUCAACCUCAUUCAUUGUAUCCAGCACCAAACCAAUGUCUACAUAUGCGAAAACGUUACUUUUCUGUGGUUAAAAGAUAAAGGUCCUAAAUGCUUCUAACAUCACGGUAGGCUUAGAAGUAAGAGACUGUUUAUUAUAUAUGUGAGUAGCUUUUAACCAGAGGGAGUCUAUUUUCUUCCUCCCCAUGAUGACCUGCGAAUAUCAGUGUUUGAAAAUGAGUCUUUAGACUUUUUUACUUUUGUCAUCUGCUAAAACCUAGCUGCCAUUUUCACAUGUCGACUGUUUUAGUGCUGUAGAUCGUGAAUAUACUUGUGGCGGAGUUGCUCUUUUUUAAGUGUUAAGAAUCAUUAAUGUCCUGUUUUAUCUUUUAUAGUCUCCGAGAUUAAGAGUACAAUGAGGAACAUUAGAUGCCACCAUGACCUAUUGGUGUCACUGUCCAAGCAGAUGGCACAUGAACGUAGCAGGAAGGCCUGCCUUUUCUCCCUGAAAUAAUAUAGUGAUCAAGGAUGCUCUGGUGGCGCAGCAGUGUUGACUUACUGGUUAGUGGGUCAUGACGUGGCGCCACAAGCAAUGGAUGUGAAGCGAGCCAAUGCGAAAUUGGUAUACCGCUGGUUGGUGUCCUAGCGGCUGUGACCUGGAAGUAGCAGAAUGAUUGCCGCCUUUCCUCCCUGAAAGAAUGCUGUGCAGUGUGCACAUGACAACGGUAAGCAGCAUCCAUGGCAUUUAAACUUUUAAGCAUUUAAACUCUUAAAAUAAAUGUGUAAUAGGUCUGUGAUGAGAAACCAUGCACCACGCUGAACUUGUGAUGGAUAACCUCUACCACAUAAUCUGAGACCUGCAGAGAUAUGGUUACAAAUAAAUGCUGGUUCAUAAGGCUGGGUUGUGAAUGCUUGGUUCUGAUUUCCCAGAUAUGGAUUAAGCCUACUUCUGGGCUAAAGUAAUUUCAUUGGAGAAUCCAUAUUCCAUACCCCUAACUGUUUUAAUUGGCUUGUUUUUCAGAAGACCAGUUACUAAUGGUACUACUUGGUGGUUCUUGCCCGUUGCAAUGCCACUGUGACAAUGAGCGGGCAGACUGACACUAACCAAUGAUGGCACGGCUGUCCUGUUCAGUGGGCAUGGAACCGGGCCUGAUUGGCCCAGGUAUCCAUCCCCCUCACCGGGAGGAAAUGAUAUGUCUAUGACCUAUUAAUCAAGCACAUUUGCUCUUGAUAUGGCUGAUGCUUUAGAGUAGGGGCAUUCAACCCUUGACCUAUGACAGGGUUUCCCAAAAUGUCCUCUUGACCCCAAGGGGUGUACAUUUUGCUUUUGUUGAAGCACAGCUGAUUUAAAUUGACUAAUCAAGCUUUGAUCACUUUAAUCAGUUGUUGGUGCAAAAUCCAAAACGCUACCCUUCAAGGUCUGGAGCCUGCUGGAGUUCUGUCCUGCCUGAUAAUUGCACCCACCUGGGAUCCCAGUUUUAAAUCAGUCCCCGGUUUAGAGUAAAACUCAGUGGAACUGGCUUUGAGGUCCAGACUUUGAGGGCUGUUGCACUAGCAGCGAUCUACUUGGACUAACUUAAUAGAUCUACAAUUUGACUAUUUGUUGGUUUUGUUUUUGUAACUGUUACCGUCUUGUUACUUUCAGAUAAAGGAUGGUCUGGGGGUGCAGCAGUGCUGACCUACCAGUUAUAGUGGGUCUGACGUGAAGCCACAAGCCAUGCUGCCAAUGAGAAAUUGGUAUAUUGGUGUCCUAGAAGAUGUAACCUGGACGUAGCAGAAUGAUUGCCGCCUUUCCUCCCUGAAAGAAUGCUGUGCACAGAACGAGUCUAGCAGUGUGGGGUUGACAUGGAGCCACACGUCAUUAUGGGGCAGGUGCUGAAGAACGAUUGAAGAUUGUGGCCUGUUUCAGUUGAAGAUGAAAGGUGGCAGUAAUGGGUUGUGCCUUAGAAGAAAGCAGAUUGUUCAGUUGCCGGUCCUAGACUAGGGUGCCGUUUGAUUUUGGUGCUGAUUGAUUUUGCAGCUGCCACUAUUAUAGCCAUUAGAUGCCGUUAAACUUAAACUGAGCUCGCUGUGAUUGAAUCUGGUUAUCACACGAAAACCCUUCACUUGGUGUGAGAUUGGCUCAACAAAUACUAAUUAAACAAUGUACUUGCCCUGUUUGAUUUGAAUAAAUGUAUUGCUUUCAAAAUAAUUCUAAUAAACUCAAGCUGAUCUCAGUUUUUUUGUU